AUUGAACGCUGGCGGCAGGCCUAACACCUGCAAGUCGAGCGACCGGCGCACGGGUGAGCAACGUAUGGGCACUGCCCGAUAGAGACGUGUCACUACUGGACACGGUCGCUAAUACCGCAUACUAUCGGAUAACCCAUAUGGGAUUAGCUAGUAGGUGAGGUAAUUGCUCACCUAGGCGACGAUCCCUAGCUGGUCUGAGAGGAUGAUCAGCCACACUGGGACUGAGACACGGCCUAUACUGCUACGGAGGCAGCAGUGGGGAAUAUUGCACAAUGGGCGCAAGCCGGAUGAAGCCAUGCCGCGUGUAUGAAGAAGGCCCUAGGGUUUUAAAGUACUUUCAGUCGGGAGGCGUUACCAACAGAAGAAGUACCGGCUAACUCCGAGCCAGCAGCCGCGGUAAUAC
rnacentral:rRNA from 1 species